rnacentral:rRNA from 1 species
CCACGGUGUGGUUCAUGACUGGGGUGAAGUCGUAACACGGUAGCCGUAGGGGAACCUGCGGCUGGAUCACCUCCUU